rnacentral:sRNA from 1 species
GCCUGUAGUUCACAAAAUGGGUGUGUAUGGGUGGGAAGAAGGUGAGAAGUAGCCACAUUUGGUAUGUGGUUGGGAGCUGAUGGGUUUUUAAAUAGGACUCUUGACUGAACAUUUUCUUUCUCUAUUUCUUUUCUUAAAAAAAAAAAUUUUCCAAAACCAGAAAGACCUCUAGUUUUCCAGACUCCCGGAGCCCUGGUCUCUACACCACAUGGACGUUAUCCACCUCCUCUGUGUCCUCCCAAGGCAGCAUUUCAGAAGGUGAUCCACAGCAAAGCCGUCCCUUCAAAUCCGUCUUUGUGCCCACUGCCAUAGUCAACCCCGUGAGAAGCACAGCCGGCCCUGGGACUUUAGGACAAGGGUCUCUUCGGAAAGGGCGGAGCAGCAUGAGAAAGAAUGGAUCCCUGCAGAGACCCCUCCAGUCCGGGAUCCCCACUCUCGUGGUAGGCUCCCUCAGACGCAGCCCCACCAUGGUCGUUCGGCCUCAGCAGUUCCAAUUCUACCAGCCACAGGGGAUCCCCUCCUCCCCCUCAGCCAUGGUGGUGGAGAUGGGGUCCAAGCCUGCCCUCACGGGGGAGCCCGCCCUCACGUGCAUCAGCAGGGGCAGCGAGGCCCGGAUCCACUCCGCGGCCAGCUCCCUCAUUAUGGAAGACAAAGAAAUCCCCAUCAAGAGUGAGCCUCU